AAACAAAAAUAAAAAAUAAAAAUUUUGAAUUCAGAAUAGAAAAGUUGGCUCCUUCAUGUUACCAACCCCAUUUGCUCUCCAUCGUUUUCUCAUCGCAGCUCCGUCCUCCGCUUCCUUCGGCAACGUCCGACGACUUCCUUCUUCAACUUCGAUUAUUGUCAACGAUUGAACAAAGACAUUAGAAGUUUGGUCUCUGCUUCCUUUUGCAACUUCCAAUUUGCACUUGCAUGUUCGACUUCGAGCGUUGUCAACGGUUGAAGAAGCACAUUAGCAGGUGCGUUUUCUCUUUCUUUCGUCUUUGUCUUGUUUCCCUCUUUUUUGGUUCUUUCGUUGUUAUUGUUUUGGUAGUAGGGCUUGCUGCAAUAAUCGUCGAAUGAACGGAUAAAUGAAGUCAUUCAUGUAUGGUUUUGGAAAGAACAAAAAAAUGAUUAUUUCUGCACUGCUGUUGUUUUCAAAAUGGUUAUCAACUCUCACUUCGUGUCAUUAGCUGAAAUGUUGAAUGGUAUAGUGAGGGAAAAUAUUCAUCCCCUUUUUGGCUUUUUUUGCCUUCCACUUUACUGGGAUGGGGACAUGAGAUUAUCACAGUUUAUCACCUUCGUUGUUUUUGUUGUCGUCAAGUUUAUCACUGCUUGUGUCCUCUUUGAUAUUGCUUUAUGUCACAUGGACAAAGCAUUCACAAAAUUCUGGACCAAUUGAAAAGCAUUCCAACAAACUUAAAUGUUGAUGUUCUUAGACAAUUAUGGUUGUACACUAUUAAAAAUAAUGGAUUUUUUGGUAUUCAAAGGGAGCUUUUAUGGCUUAA